rnacentral:pre_miRNA from 1 species
UGUUGAUGUUGAUGAUGAUGAUGAUGAUGAUGAUGACGAUGACGAUGAUGAUGAUGAUCGCCGUCAUCAUCAUCAUCAUCAUCAUCAUCAUCAUCA